rnacentral:rRNA from 1 species
CGCUGGCGGCGUUNNNNAAACAUGCAANUCGAACGAGAAAGUCUCCGCAAGGGNUAUGAGUAAAGUGGCNAACGGGUGAGUAACACGUAGCUAACCUACCUACGAGUGGGGGAUAACCUGGGGAAACUCGGGCUAAUACCGCAUAAUAUCCUGAUGGCGCGAGUCGUUAGGAUCAAAGGCCCGCAAGGGUCGCUGGUUGAGGGGGCUGCGGCCGAUUAGCUAGUUGGUGAGGUAACGGCCCACCAAGGCGAUGAUCGGUAGCCGGCCUGAGAGGGCGCACGGUCACACUGGCACUGAAACACGGGCCAGAUUUUUUUGUGAGGCAGCAGUGGGGAAUUUUGCACAUUGCCCGAAAGGGUGAUGCAGCANCGCCGCGUGAGGGAUGAAGGCCUUCG